GCCGGGCGCGGUGGCCCAUGCCUGUCAUCCCAGCAGCUCCGGAGGCUGAGGCAGGAGGAUCGUGAGUUCAAAGCCAGCCUCAG
rnacentral:sRNA from 1 species